GGAUCUGUAGUGUAAUUGGUUAGCAUACAGGACUUUGACUCCUGUGACCGCGGUUCAAUUCCGCGCGGAUCCU
rnacentral:tRNA from 1 species